rnacentral:rRNA from 1 species
UGGGGAAUUUUGGACAAUGGGCGCAAGCCUGAUCCAGCAAUGCCGCGUGCAGGAUGAAGGCCUUCGGGUUGUAAACUGCUUUUGUACGGAGCGAAAAGGUCUGCCCUAAUACGGUGGGCUCAUGACGGUACCGUAAGAAUAAGCACCGGCUAACUACGUGCCAGCAGCCGCGGUAAUACGUAGGGUGCGAGCGUUAAUCGGAAUUACUGGGCGUAAAGCGUGCGCAGGCGGUUAUAUAAGACAGAUGUGAAAUCCCCGGGCUCAACCUGGGACCUGCAUUUGUGACUGUAUAGCUAGAGUACGGUAGAGGGGGAUGGAAUUCCGCGUGUAGCAGUGAAAUGCGUAGAUAUGCGGAGGAACACCGAUGGCGAAGGCAAUCCCCUGGACCUGUACUGACGCUCAUGCACGAAAGCGUGGGGAGCAAACA